ensembl:lncRNA
GGGAGGGGUAUCGUCACUGCCUGAUGGAAUAAAUGGGGUGUCAGGGGCAGGGGUCGCGAACCUCUGCGGUUCCCCAUUAUUAGCACGUGAUCCUGAGAGUCAGUGUCUUGCACUCUGUGUCAGAGUUGUUGUACUAAACACGGCAGUGCUGCCAGCUUUAGGAGCGUGGUACUGGAAGUACAGUGAGGUACUCGGUAGUCACUUUGCCUUUCCUUGGAAGAGUGCCAAGGGAUGAACGCAGCACCAGCCUUGUCUCAGUGAUGGGAAAACACCAGUUUUAGCCAGUAGCUACACAUUAUCAGCUUGAUAACAAAUGUUUUACAGUGUUUUAUUGCCUGGAGUUUCUUUUCACAAUACUCAAACUUUUUAUCCACAAAGCUCAGCCUUGUGCUUCCUUUACUUAAAAACAAGUUCCUGCUUCUUUACAUUUUGCUGAAAAAAGUAACAUGUACAUAUGUUAUUAGUGCUGGAUACCACUUUUUUAUUUUGUAUCCUUGGUUGAGCUUUGGGUUAGUGUCAAAUGCACCCCAUUUUAGCUCUUUCUCUCUCUCUCUCACUCUCUCUCUCCUCCCCAUCCACAGUGCAAGCACUUUCAGAUUCCACCAGCGGGGGUUACAGGCCAGUGCUUUAGCUGGCAGAGAAUGGGACUUUUAGCACAUGUUAAGCUAGUAUGACCCUCUGCCUGCCACAGAGGCAGGUUUUUUGUUUUUUCUUAAGUUGCACUAAACUGGGCUGUGAGGGUAAGUCCCUAGACUUGUUUUAUUUGGAGUUUUGUUCUUUGAGUGAAUCUUGGGUAAAAACAUGGGUACAAAAUUGCUCUUGUGUUACAGAUCUUAGACAAGAGAACAUUUGUGGUGAUAAGAUCAGCCGUUACCCCUUUUCAGCUACAUAAUGAGAGAUAGAGAUUGAAGUUGACCGUUUGUGGGUGUGCACAUUUGCAGUAGAUGGAAAGCAGUGACGAUAUAGAUGGUUUUUUGCAUUUUCAGGGCUUUCUUGUACAUAUGCAACAUAAAGAGAACCGUGAGGUUGUUUUUUUUUUCAUAUAUCGCUUUUCUUUUGUUUGUUGUAACUGUCAAAUGAAAAGGAAUUUUUUUUUACAGUACAGAAUGUUUUUCUUUCAUUUUUAAAGUUGUUUGAGAAGCUAUAGUGAACAGAUUCAAUGUAUAUUGUAGCUUAGAGGCAAAGGGGAGAAAAACAAAACAUGUUGAAUGUAAAACCUAUAAAAAAAAGUAUAAAGUCUUUUUUUUGUUGUUGUUGUUGUAAUAGUUGCUGGCUAGUUUUUACUGCCUGUAGUGAACCUUUAACAUGUCCUGAUUUUUGGUAUCCAAAUCUUUAACACCCACAGACAGCUGUUGCCGCAGUGCUAAAUCAUAUAAAAUGGCACGACCUUGCAGUAUUGCUUUACUAUCCUAUUUUGUGCAAUGAGACGCUUUACAAUGGAACAAGAACUAACUUGCUUUUUGGUGACGUUCACACCGUUGCUGUUCUUUUACCCUGGCAUUUUUUUGUUUUUCUGAAUAUGUGUGGUUAUCAUUGUCAGAGGUGUUGUUUGUGGAUUUGAUGUUAAGUUUUUUGUUAGGCAGGAUAACCUUCGUCAUGGGGCACCAUGGACAUUUUUGAUCCUGCCUUGCACAUUCCAAUAGACGGCAUGCUUUUAGUGUCUUCCAACUGCUCACUUAAAAACAAACAAAACACACAAAAAAAAAUCCUCUCCACUUCCUUUUUACUACAGCGAUUUCCCCAAUCACCUUUCACACUUCCUGUUCUUGUCCUGUCCAGCUUUAUUGUGGUCACACCCAAGCCUUUACCCAGUAUAUUAAGCUAAACUAAACCCUUGAAAUGUGCAUCAGAAAGCCUUUGUUUUGUUGUUGUUUUGUUCUUUUUUUUUUUUUUUUUUUUUUUUUUCAAUUACGUCAAAAUUGAUGUGGUGCUUUUGUGAAUGUCGUAUGUAAACCAGCAGCAGCAAAGCCAAUAGAUCUCCUUCCAAAUCAAAUGUAAUGCAUUGCAAUGGCAGCUCUACACAGUUCUCUGCUUCUUCUACUACUGUGCUGUAUUGUUUGUCUGGGCGUUUAUCCCGUCUGUCACUUCUCUCUCAUCCGAUGACCUUUUUUUUCCCCCAUACCAUCUCGUGUUUUUACUGAGCCUUACGCUGGCUGGCAUCAAAACCAACCUUUGCUUUUUAUUUCUCUCUCGAUUGAUUGAUUGACUGAUUGAUUGAUUCAUCGUCUGGUUGAGUUUGAGGUUAUUUUGCAUGUCUAGUAUCGCUCAUUUUUCCCCCUUUUUUUUUUUUUUUUUUUUUUUUUUUUUUUUUUUGUUAGGAGAUACAACACUGAAGGGUUUUAUGUGUUAGAUUUCCCCUCCAAGUAUCCAGUAACCCAAGGCUGAUGUAGUCUGUUUUUCACCAGAUGUAAAAAAUGCUCAUUGCAGCCCGUAACACACACAAACACACAGUGCUAAGAGCAUUUUGUGGGAACCUUGACGUCAGUCUUGGGUCUUCACUGGAGGGCAAGAUUUCUCCUGUGUGUGGGCUUGGCCUCUGGUCCUCAUCAGCAGUCCCACGCACAUGGAGGAAGCACUUUCUGAGGAGUGGUGCACUCAAGGAGUAUUUGUGUGAAUGUCAAGCUUAUGACGAGAGCUUGGAAAGAUGGAUGAAACAUGUAUGAUGUUGAUAAUGUGAUCUUUGUGAUGUAAUGUGACAGAAAGGAAAAUAAAACCUAAAUGGAAGCAGCUUUGUCAUCGGGUUCAUUUGUGUAUAUGAAGAUGAGUGUGACUAUCGAAGUGUAAGUUUAUGAUGAGCAGUCUUUCAAAGGCAACAGAAUGGAUUCAUUCCUUCUGCUUUUGCUACCUCGGC